rnacentral:rRNA from 1 species
GAUGAACGCUGGCGGCGUGCCUAAUACAUGCAAGUCGAGCGAACAGAUGAGGAGCUUGCUCCUCUGACGUUAGCGGCGGACGGGUGAGUAACACGUGGAUAACCUACCUAUAAGACUGGGAUAACUUCGGGAAACCGGAGCUAAUACCGGAUAAUAUAUUGAACCGCAUGGUUCAAUAGUGAAAGACGGUUUUGCUGUCACUUAUAGAUGGAUCCGCGCCGCAUUAGCUAGUUGGUAAGGUAACGGCUUACCAAGGCAACGAUGCGUAGCCGACCUGAGAGGGUGAUCGGCCACACUGGAACUGAGACACGGUCCAGACUCCUACGGGAGGCAGCAGUAGGGAAUCUUCGGCAAUGGGCGAAAGCCUGACGGAGCAACGCCGAGUGAGUGAUGAAGGUCUUCGGAUCGUAAAACUCUGUUAUUAGGGAAGAACAAAUGUGUAAGUAACUAUGCACGUCUUGACGGUACCUAAUCAGAAAGCCACGGCUAACUACGUG